UAAUCCUUUUAUUUUAAAUAUAUCCCCAUUCACCAUAAUUCACGUUCUUCUCUUUGGUUUCAGAAAAAAGAAAUCUUUCUUCCUUUCCUUUCGCCGGCGGCAACAACGACCUGGCGUGGUGCGGUGGUGGAUCUCCGGCAGCCUAGCCCGCUUCUCCAACCAGCAUGCUGAUUUCGUUUUCCUCUUCUCCUUAUGUCCUUGUUGAUUUGUGGGACUAGACUGGAUUGCGGAUCACUAUGGGGUUCCUGCUGUUGAAGAAUGGAGAAUGCAAAUGUACAAUGUCGUGUCUAAGAACAAGCUCGUGCUGUGGGACCAGUGUGAGGUUCUUGCUAUUGAAGAAUGGAGAAAGCAAAUGUGCAAUGUCGUGUCUAAGAACAAGCUCAUGCAACCUAAUCUAUUUUUUCUUCUCUUUGUAUAUGGGUUAUAGCACCCCUUAUGGUAUCUUAUAUACAUGUUUUUAGCCUUCAAAAAAAAACUUGACCCUUCCUUGAAAACAAGUGUAGAUUUUAUUUGUGUGUCAUAUCUUGUAUUGUGGCCUUUGUGCACAAUGUACUUCAUCUUUCUAUCAAGUCUCAAAUUAUAUUCAAUGAAUAAAGCUUAUGCACCUUUGAUUAA